CUCUCUCUCUUUCUGUGUCCCUGUCUCGUUCUCUCCCUCCCUCCCUCUCUCUCUCUCUCUCCCUCUCUCUCUCUCUCUCUGUGUGUGUUUCCCCCUCUCACUGGUAGCUCUGGCCUGCAGUAACCCCCGAGCUCCGGCACAACACCCACCGCUCGACACGAGAGACUUCAACUUUCACGGAAAUGAUGAACAAACGGGGCAAGCAAGAGAAGCAGCGAAAGAGAGGAUGGGAUGACGUGAAUGUGUGAGCUUCUGGUGCUGCGUGGGAGUCAGUGACAGUGUGAGGGACAGCCCGAGAGAGGGAGAGAGAGAGGAGUCCAGCACAGGACGGAUCGGAAUCGGAGCUGGCUGCCGCUGGCUCUCGCCGAUCUCUGUCGACGAUGCAUCCGCCGAGCUCUCGGGAGGGAUCGGAUCUCGGAGGUUGAGUCGUUACUGCUGCCCACAGCAGUCAAGAAAUAUCUGCAACACUCCUGAGAACGGGGGAGAGACAGAGAGAGAGAAAGAGACCGUCCGACUGCGUACACCAGCUUCACUUCUAGCUCAUUAUUUAUUGAUCUAUUGCGAAAUAAACAUUUUUGACAAA